rnacentral:rRNA from 1 species
AGAGUUUGAUCCUGGCUCAGGAUGAACGCUGGCGGCGUGCUUAACACAUGCAAGUCGAACGAACCUUCGGGUUAGUGGCGGACGGGUGAGUAACGCGUGAGAAUCUGCCCUCAGGAGGGGGAUAACGGUUGGAAACGACCGCUAAUACCCCAUAUGCCGAUAGGUGAAAUGAAUUUCGCCUGAGGAUGAGCUCGCGUCUGAUUAGCUUGUUGGUGAGGUAAUGGCUCACCAAGGCUUCGAUCAGUAGCUGGUCUGAGAGGAUGAUCAGCCACACUGGGACUGAGACACGGCCCAGACUCCUACGGGAGGCAGCAGUGGGGAAUUUUCCGCAAUGGGCGAAAGCCUGACGGAGCAACGCCGCGUGAGGGACGAAGGCCUCUGGGCUGUAAACCUCUUUUCUCAAGGAAGAAGAUAUGACGGUACUUGAGGAAUAAGCCACGGCUAAUUCCGUGCCAGCAGCCGCGGUAAUACGGGAGUGGCAAGCGUUAUCCGGAAUUAUUGGGCGUAAAGCGUCCGCAGGCGGCCUUUCAAGUCUGCUGUUAAAGAGUGGAGCUUAACUCCAUCAUGGCAGUGGAAACUGAUUGGCUUGAGUAUGGUAGGGGCAGAGGGAAUUCCCGGUGUAGCGGUGAAAUGCGUAGAUAUCGGGAAGAACACCAGUGGCGAAGGCGCUCUGCUGGGCCAUUACUGACGCUCAUGGACGAAAGCCAGGGGAGCGAAAGGGAUUAGAUACCCCUGUAGUCCUGGCCGUAAACGAUGAACACUAGGUGUCGGGGGAAUCGACCCCUUCGGUGUCGUAGCUAACGCGUUAAGUGUUCCGCCUGGGGAGUACGCACGCAAGUGUGAAACUCAAAGGAAUUGACGGGGGCCCGCACAAGCGGUGGAGUAUGUGGUUUAAUUCGAUGCAACGCGAAGAACCUUACCAGGGUUUGACAUCCUGAGAACCUCUUAGAAAUUUGAGGGUGCCUUCGGGAAUUCAGUGACAGGUGGUGCAUGGCUGUCGUCAGCUCGUGUCGUGAGAUGUUGGGUUAAGUCCCGCAACGAGCGCAACCCACGUUUUUAGUUGCCAGCAUUUAGUUGGGCACUCUAGAAAGACCGCCGGUGAUAAACCGGAGGAAGGUGUGGAUGACGUCAAGUCAUCAUGCCCCUUACACCCUGGGCUACACACGUACUACAAUGCCACGGACAAAGGGCAGCAAACUCGCGAGAGCUAGCAAAUCCCAUAAACCGUGGCUCAGUUCAGAUCGUAGGCUGCAACUCGCCUACGUGAAGUAGGAAUCGCUAGUAAUCGCAGGUCAGCAUACUGCGGUGAAUACGUUCCCGGGCCUUGUACACACCGCCCGUCACACCAUGGAAGUUGGCCAUGCCCGAAGUCGUUACUCCAACCCUUGUGGAGGAGGACGCCGAAGGUGGGGCUAAUGACUGGGGUGAAGUCGUAACAAGGUAGCCGUACCGGAAGGUGCGGCUG